rnacentral:misc_RNA from 1 species
GAACUGCGAAACGUAGUGUGAAUUGCAGAAUUCCGUGAACCAUCGAAUCUUUGAACGCAGAUUGCGCCCGAGGUUUCGGCCAAGGGCACGUUUCGCUCAGUGUCGGUACAACCCUUCAACUCCCUCACGGGGGUUGAGAUCUGGCCUUCCCUGUGCUUGCACAGGGUCUGCCGAAUGUCAUUGCCGGGGUUCGCAGCACCAGACGGCUUUGUCGAGCAAUUAUUUGCCGACCGUUGUCUAUGCUGUGAAACCCGAGCCAACCAAACUUUUACCUUCGACCUGAGCUGAAGCGAGGCUACCCGCUGAACUUAA